rnacentral:rRNA from 1 species
AUACGGAGGGUGCAAGCGUUAAUCGGAAUUACUGGGCGUAAAGCGCACGUAGGUGGUUUGGUAAGUUGGAUGUGAAAUCCCCGGGCUCAACCUGGGAAUGGCAUCCAAAACUGCCAAGCUAGAGUCUGGUAGAGGGUGGUGGAAUUCCAGGUGUAGCGGUGAAAUCCGUAGAUAUCCGGAGGAACACCGGUGGCGAAGGCGGCCACCUGGACAGGUACUGACGCUGAGGCGCGAAAGCGUGGGGAGC